CAAGAGCGUAUGUAAAAGUUGUUGCAGUUAAAAAGCUCGUAGUUGAACCUUGGGUUUGGUUGGCCGGUCCGCUUUUUUGCGAGUACUGGAUUCAACCGAGCCUUUCCUUCUGGCUAACCAGUCGUUUCGGCGGCUGGCGAACCAGGAUUUUUACUUUGAGAAAAUUAGAGUGUUCAAAGCAGGCAUUAGCUUGAAUAUAUUAGCAUGGAAUAAUAGAAUAGGACGUUAUGGUUCUAUUUUGUUGGUUUCUAGGACCAACGUAAUGAUUAAUAGGGACGGUCGGGGGCAUCAGUAUUCAGUUGUCAGAGGUGAAAUUCUUGGAUUUACUGAAGACUAACUACUGCGAAAGCAUUUGCCAAGGACGUUUUCAUUAA
rnacentral:rRNA from 1 species